AACUGAUACUACCUGCGGGAACCUGCGGAAGGAUCAUUACAUGGCGGAGAAGGUGGGCAACCUGGCCAACAUCCAGGUUGUGAUGCCUUCACGCUCUUCCACCCUUGUCUAUUUGCACCUUCUGUCGUUCCCUCGGCGGGUUUCGACCCGCCGGCGGCAACAUUGAAAAACCCUUUUUGCAGUUAGCAUUCAAUUCUUCUGAUCAAAUAUUAAAUCAUUACAACUUUCAACAACGGAUCU
rnacentral:misc_RNA from 1 species